GGUUGUGGCUCAGUGGUUGAGUGCUUGCCUUGCAUGUGUGAGGCACUGGGUUUGAUCCUCAGCACCA
rnacentral:tRNA from 1 species